rnacentral:rRNA from 1 species
AUUGAACGCUGGCGGCAGGCUUAACACAUGCAAGUCGAACGAUGACUCUCUAGCUUGCUAGAGAAGAUUAGUGGCGGACGGGUGAGUAACAUUUAGGAAUCUGCCUAGUAGUGGGGGAUAGCUCGGGGAAACUCGAAUUAAUACCGCAUACGACCUACGGGUGAAAGGGGGCGCAAGCUCUUGCUAUUAGAUGAGCCUAAAUCAGAUUAGCUAGUUGGGGGGGUAAAGGCCCACCAAGGCGACGAUCUGUAACUGGUCUGAGAGGAUGAUCAGUCACACCGGAACUGAGACACGGUCCGGACUCCUAUGGGAGGCAGCAGUGGGGAAUAUUGGACAAUGGGGGCAACCCUGAUCCAGCCAUGCCGCGUGUGUGAAGAAGGCCUUUUGGUUGUAAAGCACUUUAAGCAGGGAGGAGAGGCUAAUGGUUAAUACCCAUUAGAUUAGACGUUACCUGCAGAAUAAGCACCGGCUAACUCUGUGCCAGCAGCCGCGGUAA